GGGCAUGUAGCUCAGUGGACU
rnacentral:tRNA from 1 species